rnacentral:rRNA from 1 species
GACGAACGCUGGCGGCGUGCUUAACACAUGCAAGUCGAACGAAGUGGCGGACGGGUAAGUAACGCUUAAUCAACCUGCCCUUCAGAGGGGGACAACAGUUGGAAACGACUGUUAAUACCGCAUACUGAAGUAGGGGAUUGCGUCGGAUUGGCUAGUGGGCGGGGUAACGGCCCACCCAGGCGAUGAGCAGUAGGCGGUAGGAGGGGAGGAACGGCGAACUUGGGACUGAGGAACGGUCCAGACACCUACGGGAGGAAGCAGUGGGGAAUCGUCCGGAAUGGAGGAGAGUCUGACGGAGCAACGCCGCGGUAGUGAUGACGGCCCUCGGGUUGUAAAGCUAUGUUAAUCGGGACGCGGUACCGGAAUAGAAAGCAACGGCUAACUACGUGCCAGCAGCCGCGGUAAUAC